GCCAGGUGCGGUGGUGCACCCCUGUAAUCCCAGCAGCUGGGGAGGCUGAGACCGGAGGAUUGUGAGUUCAAAGCCAGCCUCAGCAAAAGUGAGGUGCUAAGCAACUCAGCUAGACCUUGUCUCUA
rnacentral:sRNA from 1 species